rnacentral:rRNA from 1 species
AUUGAACGCUGGCGGAAUGCUUUACACAUGCAAGUCGAGCGGCAGCGCGGGGCAACCUGGCGGCGAGCGGCGAACGGGUGAGUAAUACAUCGGAACGUACCCAGUUGUGGGGGAUAGCCCGGCGAAAGCCGGAUUAAUACCGCAUACGCUCGAGAGAGGAAAGCCGGGGACCGCAAGGCCUGGCGCGAUUGGGUUGGCCGAUGUCCGAUUAGCUAGUUGGUGAGGUAAAGGCUUACCAAGGCGAUGAUCGGUAGCUGGUCUGAGAGGAUGAUCAGCCACACUGGGACUGAGACACGGCCCAGACUCCUACGGGAGGCAGCAGUGGGGAAUUUUGGACAAUGGCGCAAGCCUGAUCCAGCCAUGCCGCGU